GCACUUAGGGCCUGAUCCAAAGCCCACUGAAGUUAAUAGGCGUCCUUUCAUUGACUUCAGUGCGCUUUGGAUCAGGCCUUUAAUAAU
rnacentral:pre_miRNA from 1 species